UACGGCGGCGGCUCGCGUUGUUCGGAAUUACUGGGCGUAAAGCGCGCGUAGGCGGAUUGUUAAGUCGGGGGUGAAAUCCCGGGGCUCAACCCCGGAACUGCCUUCGAUACUGGCAAUCUGGAGUUCGAGAGAGGUGAGUGGAAUUCCGAGUGUAGAGGUGAAAUUCGUAGAUAUUCGGAGGAACGCCAGUGGCGAAGGCGGCUCACUGGCUCGAUACUGACGCUGAGGUGCGAAAGCGUGGGGAGCAAACAGG
rnacentral:rRNA from 1 species